GCCUAACUCAUGCAAGUCGAACGAAACCUUCGGGUCUAGUGGCGCACGGGUGCGUAACGCGUGGGAAUCUGCCCUUGGGUUCGGAAUAAAACUUAGAAAUGACUGCUAAUACCGGAUGAUGACUAAAGUCCAAAGAUUUAUCGCCCAAGGAUGAGCCCGCGUAGGAUUAGCUAGUUGGUGAGGUAAAGGCUCACCAAGGCAACGAUCCUUAGCUGGUCUGAGGGGAUGAUCAGCCACACUGGGACUGAGACACGGCCCAGACUCCUACGGGAGGCAGCAGUGGGGAAUAUUGGACAAUGGGCGAAAGCCUGAUCCAGCAAUGCCGCGUGAGUGAUGAAGGCCUCAGGGUUGUAAAGCUCUUUUACCCGGGAUGAUAAUGACAGUACCGGGAGAAUAAGCCCCGGCUAACUCCGUGCCAGCAGCCGCGGUAAU
rnacentral:rRNA from 1 species